GUCGGACGUUCGAGUCGUCCCAGGCCCACCACUGAUCCAGAAGGUUGGGCGUCGAUCUGAAGCUCUUGUUGUGCUGAGCGUGCUCUUAGGGGCCAUAGCUCAGUUGGGAGAGCGCGUGCUUUGCAAGCAUGAGGUCGUCGGUUCGAUCCCGUCUGGCUCCACCAUUUCCUGCAUUCCGAUGAGGGAUGCGGUCGAGAUGGUCGGUGGUGAAGCGCUUCAAGCGUGAGAGAAGAACAUCCGGUUCUUUUCUCUUCUGUCCGCACAAUCUGUUUCGCUGAUCCUCAGCAAGCCCCCAUGUGGGCGAGGAUGAGCGCUGCUGUCUGACAUUGUGAAUCUGGGCGUUUUCGAUUUGCUGGCCGCAAGGCUGGCGGGUCGUGACAAUCAAGCUUUCGGGCUUGAGAGGACACGAUCAUCGGGUGCUGACCGCACCGGUGUCGAAAAUGUCGAAGCUGGUCUUUAGCGUCCAGCCCUCUCGCUGAUCCGCCUGGUGCGGAUUGAUGAGAACCUCAGCCGAGGAGUGGGCAUGGACGAUGAGAACGAUCAAGUGUCUUAAGGGCAUUCGGUGGAUGCCUUGGCGCUAAGAGGCGAAGAAGGACGUGGUACGCUGCGAUAUGCUUCGGGGAGC
rnacentral:rRNA from 1 species